CUUAUUCAAUGAAUGACUCAUGUGGGAAAUGAGGCGCAUGUAAAACUAGAUCUUUUUCUUGAAAAAUCUCCCAUCGAACGAGGAUGAUGUGAGAAUGAAUCUGAAUUUUUAACUGAACAACCGGUUCGAAUGGGAGGAUUGCGGGUUCGUUCGCUUCUGGAUUCGCGUGAUGCAACUCAUUUCUAUAUACACAGUCGUUUCUUCUCUCAGUAUAGAUUUAUCUAGUGUACUUCAAUUCAAAUGAUUUUAUUCCUCUGCUCAAUAUUUUCCGUCCAGAAUAAAUAUAUCCUAUGUAUAGUUACAUAAAAAAAAAGAAGAAGAAAACUUUCAAGUCCACAAAGUCAAUAUAAUAUUGGAUCUAAAGAGAAUAGUGGAUACUUUUUUUUUACCUGCAUUGCUUCAG